rnacentral:rRNA from 1 species
CCGGAGCUAAUACCGGAUAAUAUAUUGAACCGCAUGGUUCAAUAGUGAAAGACGGUUUUGCUGUCACUUAUAGAUGGAUCCGCGCUGCAUUAGCUAGUUGGUAAGGUAACGGCUUACCAAGGCAACGAUGCGUAGCCGACCUGAGAGGGUGAUUCGGCCACACUGGAACUGAGACACGGUCCAGACUCCUACGGGAGGCAGCAGCG